GAUGAACGCUGGCGGCGUGCCUAAUACAUGCAAGUCGAGCGAACAGAUAAGGAGCUUGCUCCUUUGACGUUAGCGGCGGACGGGUGAGUAACACGUGGGUAACCUACCUAUAAGACUGGGAUAACUUCGGGAAACCGGAGCUAAUACCGGAUAACAUUUGGAACCGCAUGGUUCUAAAGUGAAAGAUGGUUUUGCUAUCACUUAUAGAUGGACCCGCGCCGUAUUAGCUAGUUGGUAAGGUAACGGCUUACCAGGGCGACGAUACGUAGCCGACCUGAGAGGGUGAUCGGCCACACUGGAACUGAGACACGGUCCAGACUCCUACGGGAGGCAGCAGUAGGGAAUCUUCCGCAAUGGGCGAAAGCCUGACGGAGCAACGCCGCGUGAGUGAUGAAGGGUUUCGGCUCGUAAAACUCUGUUAUUAGGGAAGAACAAACGUGUAAGUAACUGUGCACGUCUUGACGGUACCUAAUCAGAAAGCCACGGCUAACUACGUG
rnacentral:rRNA from 1 species